rnacentral:rRNA from 1 species
AUUGAACGCUGGCGGCAUGCUUUACACAUGCAAGUCGAGCGGCAGCGCGGGGGCAACCCUGGCGGCGAGCGGCGAACGGGUGAGGAAACCAUCGGAACGUGCCCGAGAGUGGGGGAUAACGCCGCGAAAGCGGCGCUAAUACCGCAUAUUCUCUGAGGAGGAAAGUGGGGGACCGCAAGGCCUCACGCUCCCGGAGCGGCCGAUGUCGGAUUAGCUAGUUGGUGGGGUAAAGGCUUACCAAGGCGACGAUCCGUAGCUGGUCUGAGAGGAUGAUCAGCCACACUGGGACUGAGACACGGCCCAGACUCCUACGGGAGGCAGCAGUGGGGAAUUUUGGACAAUGGGGGCAACCCUGAUCCAGCCAUGCCGCGUGCGGGAAGAAGGCCU